GUGUCAGCAGCCGCGGUAAGACGAAGGGGGCUAGCGUUGUUCGGAAUUACUGGGCGUAAAGCGCGUGUAGGCGGUUGUUCAAGUCAGGUGUGAAAGCCUUGAGCUCAACUCAAGAAAUGCACUUGAUACUGGAUGACUAGAGGACCGGAGAGGAUAGUGGAAUUCCCAGUGUAGUGGUGAAAUACGUAGAGAUUGGGAAGAACACCAGUGGCGAAGGCGGCUAUCUGGACGGUUUCUGACGCUAAGACGCGAAAGCGUGGGGAGCAAACAGGAUUAGAAACCCUGGUAGUCC
rnacentral:rRNA from 1 species